rnacentral:rRNA from 1 species
CGCUCUUUGUAAACUCUUAAAUAGGGAGUCGUGCCUGCCCAGUGAUUAAAAUUUUAACGGCCGCAGUACCCUGACUGUGCUAAGGUAGCAUAAUCACUUGCUUUUUAAUUGAAAGCUAGAAUGAAUGGCUUGACGAAAGCCUAGCUGUCUCUUUUACAUUAACUAAAAAUUACUUUUUAGGUGAAGAAGCCUAAAUAAUCUCAAAAGACGAAAAGACCCUGUCGAGCUUUAAAAAAAAAUUAAAUCAAAAUUAUAGAAAAACUAAAUUAAAAUUAACUUUUUGUUGGGGCGACAAAAGAACAAACAAAGCUUCUUUUACUUAAAUAAAUUUAUAAAUUUCAAUGAACCAAAAUUUUUGAUCAAAAGAAAAGUUACCGCAGGGAUAACAGCGUAAUUUCUUUGGAGAGCUCAAAUUGAAAAAGAAGUUUGCGACCUCGAUGUUGGAUUAGAAAAUCUUUUUGGUGCAGCCGCUAAAACAGAGGGUCUGUUCGACCCUUAAAUUUCU